UCCAAGAGGCACGACUUGGGCAACUUUCUCCGGCUCUCACUGGAUAAAUUAAGAAAUAUGUAUUGGUAUACUGCUCAGACCCAUCUUUUUCUACUGUUCGGCUGGAAAUGGAACUACACACAAUUCCUGUUUGGGUAGCGGCUCUUCCUGCUACACUGUCGGCAGAGGGCGCUGCAAGGUCAAACACUUCCUUCCUGUUUUGGUGUUUCCCACAAUUCCUUUCGGUCAGUAGAUCGUUCCCUAGAAGCCGCCACCUUGCCGUAGGGCUGUUGCUUAUUGCAGCAUUAGUUGAAUCCGAUUAGCAGUCAGCUCAGGGUUCACAGUUUGCCGAGCUAUGAAACUAUGCUGUGCCGGUCCUCGGAGACGCCAACUUAUCAACUCCUUUGUGCUGCUUCAAAGCUUCUGUGUCUUGACCGACUCAUGUCUGCUUGCUUCUCCAAAUCAGAAGAAGAGAGUCUCCUGCUGCUGCAUUUGGAUCAAGAUGUAUAACUUUCAGCUCUUGCAAUACCAUGUCUGCCUAGGAGCCAGCAUCCUUCUCACCGUGAUGAUAAUGGACUGACUAAACCUCUAAAACUAACUUGGCAGCUUCAGUCACAUGGCUCUGGAUUUGGAAUCAAGAAAAGAACGGAGUUACUGGGAGAGCUGAUGCUUGUUUGCUUGAGCUAAGAUGUUAAGAAGAUUAAUAUCAUAUUAAGAAGAGACUGUAGAGGGUGGUUCUGAUGCUAAGGUCCUGCUUCCCAGUUGGUUCUUGAUCGAUUAAUAAAGAUGCCAGGGGCCAAUUACUGGGCUCUUCUGAGCCUUCCUCAGCUAUCUUGCACCAUUCUUUUCACUCCCAUCUCAGCACCCUCAGCUUAAUUGUGUUUAUAAUGUCCCACGUAGGGAAGCAGCCUGUGGUCACUCCACUCGAGAUCUCACAUGGCUGGUCCCCUCUUCUCCCUCUGAAACAUGGUGAAAACUCUCUUCCUCUUCCUGUGUCUCUUCAUCUUUGAGGAACUGGAAGUCCCACCUCUUUCCUUCCACCCAGCAUUGGCCCCUGGCGUCUUUAUUGAUUGAUCAAGAACCAGAACCACCCCCUACAUCAAGAACUAGAAUCACCUCCUACAUCUCACCUUUUCUGUCAAACAAAAACAAAAACAAAAAAACCAAACUCUUGUUCCCAGGCAUAAAUUGAACAAAACCAUAACAAUCAUGUAAGUUACAAAGUAUGCUAUACAAUUAACAUCCAGCAUGAUGAUGAUGGACUGAACCUCUAAAAUUAUAAGUCAGUUGGCCUCGAUUUAAUGUUCCUCUUUUAUAAGAGUUACCUUGGUCAUUGUGCCAAACUAAGAUAAUUGAUUAUCUGAGUUCUAUCUGCAUAACCUACAUGGUACACACACACACACACACACACACACACACACACACACACAGAGAGAGAGAGAGAGAGAGAGAGAGAGAGAGAGAGAGAGAGAGUGAAAAGCUCUCAGGGAGAACUUUCCCUCGGGAUGGAGACCCUCCAACUUCAAUGACCAGACCGAGACACCACAGGAUGCAAUCAGCAAGAGGAUUUGAUUUAUUGUCGGGAUACACAGGUACCUGUGGGCGCUUCAGUCACUCGGGGGACUGGCGUGCCCCACGGAACCAAGGAUGGGCUUUUUAUAGGAUUUUGGGGAGCAGAAGCAAGCAUACAGAAGCAGAUGCAUGGUUACAGGGAUAUAAUUGGUGGAUUCUAAUAUGGCAAGGGUUCAGCCCGGGGGCAAGUUUCCUAGCUACCUUCCUGAAACAUAACAACUGACUCGGCCCCCCACCAGGGUGUGGGACCUCUCCCGGGGCUUUUCUUAUUGUCAGGUGCUCAACAGCAGUCCUCCUGUUGCCAGGCCUUCAACCAAACAUCUCCUGCUUGGCAGCCGCUGUGUACUCAGUGUUCUAACCUUUCCCUGAACCAGUCAUCUUAAGUACAGCCUUGCAAAAUGGCGUUACUGCUGCUAAGCUGGGGUCUUUCAAGAGAGAGAGAGAGAGAGAGAGAGAGAGAGGCUACAAAUGUGACAAUUUUUUAGAUCUGAGAUUCAGUCUAAAACUGCUAUAUUUCUUUCAGCUUCUACCAGUGUUGAGAGUUUACAAAAAAGAGAGACAUGGGAUGUGGUCACCUCCCAAAACCAAAAAUGUUACUUAAACAUUCAAGACACCUUCUAGGAAACAUUUUAUUCCCCUGGACAAGUUGUAUUAUUAUGGAGGCUUUAUUCAUUACAUCAUAUUUUGAAAGUAUUUCUUCUCUUUUUUCUUGAGAUUAUAAUAUAGUUAUGUCAUUUCUCCCUUGACUUUUUUCCCUUCAAACCCUCCUUGCUCUUAUUCAAAUUCACAUUUUACUGUGUUCCAAAUGCAACUUGAAAACUCUUUUAAUUGGCUUUGCUAUUAUUUUUAGCAAUCUUUCCCCUUGAGUUUUUGAAGUACUAAUGAAUCCCCCAAAGCUGGGCCACUUUCCUUAACACUGAGUUAGUUAACUUGCUUUUGCCUCCACUGAAAGAUGAUCUAGUAAUACCAGAGACUUUCCAGGACAUUUUUUUUUUGUAAGAUUCUGACUUGGGACACACCUAGUCCCUUCUCAUUUUCUUCCUUGUGUAGAGUGUGGAAUAAUACUAUUCAGGUAGGUAGGCCAUUACUAUUCAGGGUCUGUUUUGAAAACCAGCUAUGUAUUUUAUGAAGUGAAAUUUGUGUGGCACAACGCACAAUUUUAACCAUUUUUGGCCUCUUCUUGCAUAGCUAAUACACAACCAUAAGAUAAUAAUUCUGAUAAUGACAGGCCCUUGGGCAACAGUUUUCCCAGGCAAAACUCAUGCAAAGCCUCAUGAUUAGACAAUCUGAAUGGAUCUAAAAAUAGCGUGAGUUGAUUGGGAACCCUGGACAGCAUCACUGCAGGGGAGUAAUUCUUAUCCCAUUAGGAAGAAAUUUUAAAUGUUUUCCAGGUGGCAUAGGUUGUCACCAUUUCCCAAUAAUUACAACUCCUCUGAUUUGUAGGCCUGCCAGGCUCUUCCCAUAUUGGAGAAACACAGAAAAAUAAUUCAUGAAAAAAUGAACCAUCUUUACCAAAAGCAGAAUCUUCCCUUGAAGAAUGGUAUGGUAAUCAUAACGUACCACUAUGGUGAUGACUGUUCUUAAUUCCAAAAUAUUCCUUCUUGUGGAAAAUAACCAUGAUGCUUAUUUUCCUUAUCACAAGCAUUGAUUACUUCUGAGUCUGUGCUAGAAAGAAAAUGUACCAGUGUCUUGGAAAGGAGAUAAUCUUCUGUUUCACGUCAUGAACUGAAACUAAAAUAAAGGGAAAUUUUAUGGUAAUAGGUUUCCAUAUGGCUUUUCAAAAGAUCUUUAAAUGUCCAUUAUUCCACCUCGUGUCCCUUCUCUACCCUGUGUUCCUCUCACCUCCCAUUAAAGCCUCCUGCUCUAUUUUCCCUCUAUUUCUUUCUAACAGUAGACUAUUUCCCUUCUUUGGAAGGACUGUCCCCGUUCCUUACUAGAUACGUGUUGUUAUUUGGAUUGAAACAUGCAUUUCUAAAACUUAAAGUGAACAUCCAUAUACAAAAGAAAACAUACUAGAUUUGUCUUUCUGGGUCUAGGUUACCUCACUCAGGGUGGUUAUGUCUAGCUCCAUCCAUUUACCUGAAAAUUUCAUAAUUUUCUUUUACUUGGCAGCUGAUACUUCAUUGUGUAAAUGUACCACAUUUUCAUUAUCUAUUCAUCAGCUGAUGGACAUCUAGGCUGUUUCCAAUUUUGAGCUAUUAUGAACAGGGCAGUAAUGAACAUAGAUAAACAGGUAUCUCCAUACUAAGAUGUAGAGUCUUUUGGGUACAUGUCUAAGAGUGCUGUAGCUGGAUCUUGUGGUAGAUAAAUUUUCAGCCUUUUGAGGAACUGCCAUAAUGACUCUUACAGAGGGUGUACUAGUUUGCACUCCCUCCAGUAAUGAAUUAAAAUAUGAAAUUUCACUUAGGAUUUGUGACAUCUAUGCUGUCAUUCUGACACUGGUAGGCACUGGGACUGCAUUUCCAGGCAGAAUUCAUCCACAGCCUCAUAAUCACCCAGUUUGAAUGAUUCUAAAGAAGUACAAGUUGAUUGGGACAAUCAUAUCAAACAAUGAUAGCACCUGAUGCAUGUUGAUACUCUCCUCCUUUCCCUGCUAUGGCUGUUACUGCAAUACAGGGGAUAUUCUAUCUCAAGAAUAUAUCUUACAGACAGCUAUAAGGUGUUAAGCUCAUCUUGGUCAUGACUUUUUCAUUUCCCAAGUAUUAGCCAAUAAUAAAUAUAGUUCAAAGAACACAAAAGACUAUUCUUAAAGUUUUGCUCCUACAUAGAGAUAAGGAAGAUUUAGCCAUGAUAGAACAAUUAAUGUCUGAAGGAACCCAAACUAGUGGCUGAUACUAAUGCCUCAGUAUUUGAAGAAUAAUUUCCAGGAACUAACUUGUCUCCUGAGCAUCCCAGAAGGCAACCAUGCUGCUGGACUUUGGUUCAGAGAGAAAAUGACAACCAUUGUCAGUGUCUUGCAUCUCUCUGUGUCUCCUGCUUUUACUUGCUUCUCUUCAUUUGUCAUUUUCAGGAAAAAACAACAGUGGUUAACUGUCCCUUAAUUGUGGGACUAAGGUAAGCUUUCAUGGAGGAAGAUGUAAAAUGACUUAUUUUUAAUAUAAGUGUAAGCAGUGAAUUAAUCCUGUGUCUGUGUAUCUUUACUAGUCCUCAAUAGCCACACAGAGAAACCAAGAUUUAUUUCAAACUGCACCUCAAAAGCUGGUCAGAUAAAGGAUUAUCCUAAUCCUCAUACUAAUCUGGCUACCUCUCAGCUGCAUCCCAUUAUACUUGCAUAUUAUUAUUGAUUUUGUUAUACUUGCACAUUAUUAUUGAUUUUGUUAUAUUUGCAUAUUAUUAUUGAUUUAGAUCUUUAGGCUUCAGAUGUAUUUCUCAUGGCGUCUUUAGACAUUGAACCAUCUCCUCAUGGCUCAUCUCUUCAUCCUUUUGGCAGACCUGACAUUUCCUCUCUUCCUCUUUCCCUGUCUCCCUCCGUAGUGGCUAUUCCUGGUUAUCAACUUGACUAUAUCUGGGAUGUAUUACAAUCCAGAAUUAGAAGGCUCACCUUUGAUCCUGAUCUUGAGGCUGGGAGAUAAAAAUUUCUGACCUGGAUCUCGGUAUGGAGAUCUUGAGGCAAAGUGGUUAUGAAUGCCAGUAGCCUAAGGCAAGGAGAUCUCUGAGUUCAAGGUCAUCUGGGACAAAACAAAUCCCAGAUCCAGGUGUGGGGGUAUACACCUUUAAUCUGGGACACACCUUCUGCUGGAGACCGACAUAAGGUCAUUGGAAGAAAGAAGAGACUCUGCCUGCCUGCCUUGUGGAACUGAGCCACCACUAGAUCCUUGGACUUCCAUUCACAGCUGCUGCUGAUUAUUGUUGGGGAGUUGAACUACAGACUGUAAGUCAUAGCCAAUCUCUUACUAUAUAGAGAAUACCCAUAAGUUCUGUGACUCUAGAGAACCCAGCCCAAGACACCCUCUAUCCCUGUCUCCCUCUCUCCCUCUCUCCUCUGGCAGACAGAAACUUCUGCCCUAUUCUUUCUCUGGCUCAACUACUGGGUAAUCAGAAUUUAUCCACAGGGCAGAGAAUAAAUAGUAAGAAUUGUUUACACAAACUAGAGACAGGAGAUUCUUGAUAUAAGCAUUACAAUGCUAUGUCUAGUUCGUAACAGGAUAUGAUGGUAGAUAAAUCAGCAUUUAAAGAACAGAAGAUGUGUUGUUUACAUAUAUCUGACCCAGGGAGUGGCACUACUAGGAAGUACAGCCUCGUUAGAACAGGUGUGUCACUGUGGGUGUGGGCUUUAAUACCCUCAAUACCCUCAUCCUAGCUGCCUGGAAGUUAGUCUUCUGUUUGCCUUUGGAACAAGUCGUAGACCUCUCAGCAACUCCUACACUAUGCCUGCCUGGACACAUAUAUGCUCUUGCUUUGAUAAUAAUUGACUGAACCUCUGAACCUGUAAGCCAGCCCCAAUUAAAUGUCCUUAUAAGAGUUGCCUUGGUCAUGGUGUUUGUUCACAGUAGUAAAACCCUAACUAAGACAGAAGGAUAACCUUUACACAGUGCCAAAAACAUUAUGCCUAUAGGAGGAGGUAGGUUAUACACAAUGAAAGAUACAUGAGUCUAGAAGUUACAUAUGUGAGACAUAUUUUGUCUAUAAUUAUUGUUCUUACAUAUACAGUUAUACUGUUGAUUUAGAUCUUCCAAGUAUUUCAGAGAAAAAUUGGAAUAAUUUCCUACAAAAAUUUGAUUAUUCAAGAAUGCAUAAGAAUGGGCAAUCCAAUAAUCACAGGAGGUAGAGGUAGGGAGGGAUCUGGGAGGAAGACAGGAGGGGGAGGGGAAAAACAGCAGGCCAGGAACAAGUAUUGGAAGAGGCAGGAGAGAAGUACAGAGGGUCAGAAAAUUGAAUAGAUACAUGGAGCAGUGGGGGACUGGGAAAUGGGAUAGCCACUAGAAAGUCCCAGACUCUAGAGAAGCAAGAAGCUCCCAGGAGCCAAUGGUGAUGAUACAACCUGCAAAGACCAUCUCCAGUAGAUAGGCACAACCCCAGUUGAGGCAUGGGACCACCCAUGCAUCUCAAAUCGUAGGGACUUUUGCCAGCCUUACACCCACCUACCUUGGGGUAAGGCUAGGCCAGAUUCCAUUCUCCAUCCACAAUUCUUGGGACCCUCUGGUCCCAGAUAGAGUUCGAAGGCAUGUCAUAUGCUAGCUAACCAAUAGAUUCAAAGUCAAUAUGCUUAGCCAAUAAGUUUGAACUGUAACCUUGCUGAUGUAGCCUGUACUCCUAAAAAAACAUAUAAAAACUGCUUGUUAUAGCCAUUCAGGGUCACCUUCUAGUCACUUGCCGAGAAGGGCUGAUUGAAGGUUGACCCCAAUGCACUGGAAAAUAAAC